CGCCAAUAAAACUCAGGGAGACGACGAAAAAGAACCGCUUCGUUAAGGUAAAGCAUGAUCAAGACGUACAGCGACUGCGGCACUAUUACAGAACAGUUCUGAGGAACCGUCUAAAUAAGCCAUCUUUGCCGUUUUUGAAGUCACCGGAAAACCACCAGUCGAAGUCGCGAGCACCUUUUUGAAGAGGCCGAGGACGGCAAGUCAGCAACAUGAGGAGGAGGAGGAGGAGAAAGGCCUCAUGUCGAAGAUGCCACCGCUCAUAUGUCACAAGGUGCAUCAUGAUUUGAAUCGCCAAUCUGCCAAACCCCCAGACCUCCGCGCCUCCUCCAGGGCGACAUUUCAGACGGGCCCCGAGGGCGACUGGAGGGAAGACAUUG